rnacentral:lncRNA from 1 species
AUUCUUACACAUUUGUUUGGUUUUGUGGUAUUUAGUUGUUAGAUUUGGAUGGAGUUACCCUUAAAGCUUGUCAGUAUUUUUGGUUAUGAAUUCGUUUAUCUUGUAGCUUCCUAUGAGCAAGUAGCAUAAAGAUAGGGAAGAGUUAGUGUCCUGCAGUUGAUAAACCUGAGAGUUUUAAUAAGGGACUUUAUAUUGACAUAAAUUCUGCAACCCUGUAAUAAAUGUUUCUCUAAAACUUUGGUGUUGGUGUGA